rnacentral:rRNA from 1 species
UACGAAGGGUGCAAACGUUGCUCGGAAUUAUUGGGCGUAAAGCGCACGUAGGCGGCUAUCUAAGUCGGAUGUGAAAUCCCUCGGCUUAACCAAGGAAGUGCACCCGAAACUGGAUAGCUUGAGUACAGAAGAGGAUCGCGGAAUUCCCGGUGUAGAGGUGAAAUUCGUAGAUAUCGGGAGGAACACCAGUGGCGAAGGCGGCGAUCUGGGCUGAUACUGACGCUGAGGUGCGAAAGCGUGGGGAGCGAACAGG